AAGAGUUUGAUCAUGGCUCACCACGAACGUUAGGCGGCGUGCCUAAUACAUGCAAGUCGAGCGAACAGAGAAGGAGCUUGCUCCUUUGACGUUAGCGGCGGACGGGUGAGUAACACGUGGGCAACCUACCUUAUAGUUUGGGAUAACUCCGGGAAACCGGGGCUAAUACCGAAUAAUCUAUUUUACUUCAUGGUGAAAUACUGAAAGACGGUUUCGGCUGUCGCUAUAAGAUGGGCCCGCGGCGCAUUAGCUAGUUGGUGAGGUAACGGCUCACCAAGGCAACGAUAGCGUAGCCGACCUGAGAGGGUGAUCGGCCACACUGGGACUGAGACACGGCCCAGACCCCUACGGGAGGCAGCAGUAGGGAAUCUUCCACAAUGGGCGAAAGCCUGAUGGAGCAACGCCGCGUAGAGUGAAGAAGGUUUUCGGAUCGUAAAACUCUGUUGUAAGGGAAGAACAAGUACAGUAGUAACUGGCUUGUACCUUGACGGUACCUUAUUAGAAAGCCACGGCUAACUACGUAGCCAGCAGCCGCGGUAAUACGUAGGUGGCAAGCGUUGUCCGGAAUUAUUUGGGCGUAAAAGCGCGCGCAG
rnacentral:rRNA from 1 species